UUAUUAUAAUAGUGAAGGUGAACGUGCUGCUACUUCCCUCAUUCCCAACAUGAAUCAAGUACCUGCAUUGAGUAAUGCAAGAGUGAGAUGAUACAUCUCAGCAAGCAAAUUGUUUUGACGAGAUAUUUAAACCACAAAUUGAAUUAAACAACAUUUUAAAGGAAUCACAAUUGAGAUCAGAAAUACUUGUAGAUACAGAACUCAAUAGUCCCAAUAUAACCAAUACCAUCUCAUUUCCUCGAACAACCACAAUAGGUUGUAUAACCCUUCCCUGCGUCAACAAUACCUGCACAUAUCACUUCAAUAUAUGCAUAGGAAUGCAAUGUGUAGGUCAUCUGCCCUCAUACCUUUGAGAGUAUAAAACCACAUCAUCUGCUAAUAUCACUUUAAUGAAUGCAUAUAAAUGCAAUGCAUAUGUCCUCUGCCUUCAUACCUCUAAGGGUAUGAAGCCGCAUCGUACCCCUCCUCGGGCAACGUACGAUGCUAAGUUGUACCGGUACGGUCGGACCAUAGGUCACGACCAAACUUCAGAUGCAAAUGAAUCAUGUAAUGCAUAUGGCAUGCUGCAUUUAUAAAUACACUUCACUUCCUUCAGAUACAAAACAAACCUCAAAUAAUACUUCAUCUGUCUUCAGAUACGAUACAAACCUCAAAUAAUACUUUAUCUGCCUUCACGGGUGUAAAUUAAUCUCAUGGGUCAUACUCGAACCAUAAUCAUCAUCAAUAUAUGAUUGAGCAUCAGUAUAAUACAAUCAAGUAAAGCAUCACCAUAGAGUUCAAUUAUGAUAGAAUUCCAUAAUUCUGAAUAUUAGAGUGUAGGCGAUAAAAAAACAACAAGUCAAAACGGUAGAAACCACUGCUACAUUCACUUGCCUUCAUCGAGGAAGAAAGAUGUACUAGGCAUGAUCCGGAGUGUAGCCACCUGCUAGCGGGCAUAAAAUUUAGUACAAAUAUUUCACAAACAUUUGCCAACAAUCAACAAAUCGCUCCGACACUUGAAACCAAGACCCGGUGGAAAGACUCCCACCCUGAACCACAUGUCAAACAGCAGCAGCACUGUUUGUUAAUUUUGUAUCUUUAAAAUUAUAACAGUGGUGAUAUUAAACAAAUACUCUAGGAGUGUAUACACAAAAUACUCUACAACUUCAGUAUUCAAUGGAUAAUUAAAUUAUGCCAUCUAUAAGUUCUAAAACAUCUGAUAAGAUAAAUGUCUGAAUCUGUUUCAGACAGCAGCAUAGUUAACUUCAAAAUUCAAUAUCUACCAAACUACUCAACCAAAAAUUAUGCAAUUCUGCUGGCAGUAAGAACUUUUAUCCCUCUACAAAUGUCUCCAUAGUUGGAACAGCCAAUUCGGCUAUUUACUAUAUGAAACCCACCAGUGAACAGACCCGCUCAUUUUUGUCAGGCAAACAGGAACAGCCACAGUAAAACAAACAUAACUGGAGUUUCAUAAUUCAUAUGAAUGCGCUCUUUAACAAUCUGGAAAGCUUAUAAAAUUGUCUACAACUUCUUUUACAAUCCUAAAGUUUAAUUAUGUAGAUAAAAUUGCCUAAAUCUUAAGAGAACAGAUUCUGCACAGAAUUAUGAGACUGAAAAACUGCUAUAAUCAAACUGCAAUAACUUUCUGAUCUGAUGUCCGAUUGAGGUGUUCUUCGCGGCCACGGAAAGAUAUACAAAUUAUCUACGACUCAUAGACAGACGUUUUAUUUUUUUGAGGCCACUAAGAUCACGGAAAACUGGCAUGAACAGAAACUGUUGAAUCUGCCAUCCUGCAGAAACUAAUUUCGAGAUCAAAAUCUAAUCUCCCAUCUAAUCCAACCAAAAAAACUAAUUGCAGGGCCUAAAACUCAUCCAAAACAAGAGAAAGCAUUCAUCAAGUGGAGAAAAGAGAGAGAGGAAAGGAAAUCCAACCAAUUCUUGGAGAGGAACGACGAUGAUGAGUGACGGUAUGCCCUCAUCUCCCCUCUCUUCUCUUCUUUUUUCUUCAUCUCAUCUCUUGGGGCAAGGCACAAAAGGGUGACGGCUGCUAGG
rnacentral:lncRNA from 1 species